AAUCAACGCUGGCGGCGUGCCUAACACAUGCAAGUCGAACGCGAAAGCCCCUUCGGGGGUAAGUAGAGUGGCGUCCGGGUGAGUAACACGUAGGUAAUCUACCUUCGGGUGGGGAAUAACCAGUCGAAAGAUUGGCUAAUACCGCAUAAUGCAGCGGCACCUAAUGGUGAUUAGUUGUUAAAGCGGGGGAUCGUAAGACCUCGCGCCUGAAGAGGAGCCUGCGGCAGAUUAGCUAGUUGGGAGGUAAUGGCUCACCAAGGCUUCGAUCUGUAGCUGGUCUGAGAGGACGGCCAGCCACACUGGCACUGACACACGGGCCAGACUCCUACGGGAGGCAGCAGUGGGGAAUUUUGGGCAAUGGGCGAAAGCCUGACCCAGCAACGCCGCGU
rnacentral:rRNA from 1 species